UACGUAGGGGGCAAGCGUUAUCCGGAUUUACUGGGUGUAAAGGGAGCGUAGGUGGUUCGAUAAGUCAGAUGUGAAAGCCCGGGGCUCAACCCCGGGACUGCAUUUGAAACUAUCGAACUAGAGUGCAGGAGAGGUAAGUGGAAUUCCUAGUGUAGCGGUGAAAUGCGUAGAUAUUAGGAGGAACACCAGUGGCGAAGGCGACUUACUGGACUGUAACUGACACUGAGGCUCGAAAGCGUGGGGAGCAAACAGG
rnacentral:rRNA from 1 species